UACGUAGGGGGCGAGCGUUGUCCGAAGUUACUGGGCGUAAAGCGCGCGUAGGCGGCUUUUUAAGUUCGGGGUGAAAGGUUCAGCGCUCAACGCGAACAGUGCCCUGGAUACUGGGAAGCUUGAGUCCGGGAGGGGGCAGUGGAAUUCCGGGUGUAGCGGUGAAAUGCGUAGAUAUCCGGAGGAACACCGAUGGCGAAGGCAGCUGCCUGGCCUGGGACUGACGCUGAGGUGCGAAAGCGUGGGGAGCGAACGGG
rnacentral:rRNA from 1 species